ACGGGUGAGUAACACGUGGGUAACCUACCUAUAAGACUGGAAUAACUCCGGGAAACCGGGGCUAAUGCCGGAUAACAUAUAGAACCGCAUGGUUCUAUAGUGAAAGAUGGUUUUGCUAUCACUUAUAGAUGGACCCGCGCCGUAUUAGCUAGUUGGUAAGGUAACGGCUUACCAAGGCGACGAUACGUAGCCGACCUGAGAGGGUGAUCGGCCACACUGGAACUGAGACACGGUCCAGACUCCUACGGGAGGCAGCAGUAGGGAAUCUUCCGCAAUGGGCGAAAGCCUGACGGAGCAACGCCGCGUGAGUGAUGAAGGGUUUCGGCUCGUAAAACUCUGUUAUUAGGGAAGAACAUAUGUGUAAGUAACUGUGCACAUCUUGACGGUACCUAAUCAGAAAGCCACGGCUAACUACGUGCCAGCAGCCGCGGUAAUACGUAGGUGGCAAGCGUUAUCCGGAAUUAUUGGGCGUAAAGCGCGCGUAGGCGGUUUCUUAAGUCUGAUGUGAAAGCCCACGGCUCAACCGUGGAGGGUCAUUGGAAACUGGGAAACUUGAGUGCAGAAGAGGAAAGUGGAAUUCCAUGUGUAGCGGUGAAAUGCGCAGAGAUAUGGAGGAACACCAGUGGCGAAGGCGACUUUCUGGUCUGUAACUGACGCUGAUGUGCGAAAGCGUGGGGAUCAAACAGGAUUAGAUACCCUGGUAGUCCACGCCGUAAA
rnacentral:rRNA from 1 species